UACGUAGGUGGCGAGCGUUGUCCGGAAUUACUGGGUGUAAAGGGCGUGUAGGCGGGAUUGCAAGUCAGAUGUGAAAUUCUUGAGCUCAACUCAAGGGCUGCAUCUGAAACUGUGAUUCUUGAGUGCUGGAGAGGAAAGCGGUAUUCCUAGUGUAGCGGUGAAAUGCGUAGAUAUUAGGAGGAACACCAGUGGCGAAGGCGCUUUCUGGACAGUAACUGACGCUGAGGCGCGAAAGCGUGGGGAGCAAACAGGG
rnacentral:rRNA from 1 species